rnacentral:rRNA from 1 species
AUUGAACGCUGGCGGCAGGCUUAACACAUGCAAGUCGAACGAGUGGCGGACGGGUGAGUAAUGCUUGGGAAUCUGGCUUAUGGAGGGGGCUAACUACGGGAACCUGUAGCUAAUACCGCGUACCAUAAGAUGAGCCCACGUGGGCUUAGCUAGUAGGUGGGGUAAAGGCUCACCUAGGCGACGAUCUCGAGCUGGUCUGAGAGGAUGAUCAGCCACACUGGGACUGAGACACGGCCCAGACUCCUACGGGAGGCAGCAGUGGGGAAUAUUGCACAAUGGUCGCAAGCCUGAUGCAGCAAUGCCGCGUGUAUGAAGAAGGCCUUAGGGUUGUAAAGUACUUUCAGCGGGGAGGCGUUACCCGCAGAAGAAGCACCGGCUAACUACGUGCCAGCAGCCGCGGUAAUAC